rnacentral:rRNA from 1 species
AUUGAACGCUGGCGGCAGGCCUAACACAUGCAAGUCGAGCGAGCGGCGGACGGGUGAGUAAUGUAUGGGGAUCUGCCCGAUGGAGGGGGAUAACUACUGGAAACGGUAGCUAAUACCGCAUACUAUCGGAUGUGCCCAGAUGGGAUUAGCUAGUAGGUGGGGUAACGGCUCACCUAGGCGACGAUCCCUCGCUGGUCUGAGAGGAUGACCAGCCACACUGGGACUGAGACACUGUCCAGACUCCUACGGGAGGCAGCAGUGGGGAAUAUUGCACAAUGGGCGCAAGCCUGCUGCAGCCAUGCCGAGUGUAUGAAGAAGGCCUGCGGGUUUUAAAGUACUUUCAGCGGGGAGGCGUUACUCGCAGAAGAAGCACCGGCUAACUCCGUGCCAGCAGCCGCGGUAAUAC